rnacentral:rRNA from 1 species
GACGAACGCUGGCGGCGUGCUUAACACAUGCAAGUCGAACGGAAAGGCCCUGCUUUUGUGGGUUUCUCGAGUGGCGAACGGGUGAGUAACACGUGAGUAACCUGCCCUUGACUUUGUGAUAACUUCAGGAAACUGGGGCUAAUACCGGAUAUGAUCUCCUGCUGCAUGUUGGUGGUUGGAAAGUUUCGGCGGUUGUGGAUGGACUCGCGGCUUAUCAGCUUGUUGGUGUGGUAGUGGCUUACCAAGGCUUUGACGGCUAGCCGGCCUGAGAGGGUGACCGGCAACAAUGGGACUGAGAUACGGAGCAGAAUCGUACGGGAGGCAGUAGGGGGGAAUAUGGCAGAAUGGGGGGAAGCCUGAGGCAGCAACGUCGGGUGCGGGAUGACGGCCUUCGGGUUGUAAACCGAUUUCGACUGUGACGAAGAGUGAGUGACGGUAAUGGGUAAAGAAGCACCGGCUAACUACGUG